GCCUCUUUAGCUCAGUGGUUAGAGCACUGGUCUAGUAAACCAGGGAUCGAGAGUUCGACUCUCUCCAGAGGCU
rfam:Nematostella vectensis strain CH2 x CH6 NEMVEscaffold_32_Cont5598, whole genome shotgun sequence.